rnacentral:rRNA from 1 species
UUGAACGCUGGCGGAAUGCUUUACACAUGCAAGUCGAACGGCAGCAUAGAGAGCUUNCUCUCUGAUGGCGAGUGGCGAACGGGUGAGUAACAUAUCGGAANGUACCUAGUAAUGGGGNACAACUAAUCGAAAGAUNAGCUAAUACCGCAUACGNNCUACGGGUGAAAGCAGGGGAUCUUCGGACCUUGCGUUAUUAGAGNGGCCGAUAUCUGAUUAGGUAGUUGGUGGGGUAAAAGCCUACCAAGCCGACGAUCAGUAGCUGGUCUGAGAGGACGAUCAGCCACACUGGAACUGAGACACGGUCCAGACUCCUACGGGAGGCAGCAGUGGGGAAUUUUGGACAAUGGGGGCAACCCUGAUCCAGCCAUUCCGCGUGAGUGAAGAAGGCCUUCGGGUUGUAAAGCUCUUUCGCAAGAGAAGAAAUCUUGCUAUUUAAUAAAUAGUAAGGAUGACGGUAUCUUGACAAGAAGCACCGGCUAACUACGUGCCAGCAGCCGCGGUAAUACGUAGGGUGCAAGCGUUAAUCGGAAUUACUGGGCGUAAAGCGUGCGCAGGCGGUUUUAUAAGUCAGAUGUGAAAUCCCCGAGCUCAACNUGGGAACUGCGUUUGAAACUGUAAGACUAGAGUGUGUCAGAGGGGGGUAGAAUUCCAUGUGUAGCAGUGAAAUGCGUAGAUAUGUGGAGGAAUACCAAUGGCGAAGGCAG